CGGUUCUGUCUAGCUCAACUCUCGUGGUUCCAUACGAGUUAGCUCGAUAACUCUUCAGUUGCUUCCCUCGUGGAGCAUGCCAUGGGAAAAGUCCCCGGGCCCGAGACAGAAAUUGUCAGGAUGUAACGCGUCCCUCUUGUAUAUCACGCAGUCAGAAGUUGGAGGAGGAGAACUUCUCCUUCGGCUUAGACAUGGUGCAAAAAUGCCAGACCUAUCUAAAGUAAUGUUGAGAUUUCUGGUUAAGGGAUUAAGACGGGUGAAGGGAGAAACUCUCUCCUCUCACUUGCUCCUGUUCCUUCCCAUCUCACACAAUGGGGCUUACUCAGAAAGAACU
rfam:Anopheles funestus strain FTMOZ unplaced genomic scaffold supercont1.36, whole genome shotgun sequence.